rnacentral:rRNA from 1 species
AGGUAAAGCUUCGGCGCUUUAGGAGGGGCCUGCGGCCCAUCAGCUAGUUGGUAGGGUAACGGCCUACCAAGGCAAAGACGGGUAGGGGGUGUGAGAGCAUGACCCCCCACAAUGGGACUGAGACACGGCCCAUACUCCUACGGGAGGCAGCAGCAGGGAAUAUUGCACAAUGGACGGAAGUCUGAUGCAGCGACGCCGCGUGGAUGAUGAAGGCCCUCGGGUCGUAAAAUCCUUUUCAGGGGGAAGAGGAAGGACGGUACCCCUGGAAUAAGCGUCGGCUAACUACGUGCCAGCAGCCGCGGUAAGACGUAGGACGCAAGCGUUAUCCGGAUUUACUGGGCGUAAAGCGUCUGUAGGCGGUUGGGUAAGUUGGGCGUGAAAGCUCCGUGCUCAACGCGGAGAGGUCGUUCAAUACUGCCGAACUAGAGGACAUCAGAGGAGCAUGGAAUUUCCGGUGUAGCGGUAAAAUGCGCAGAUAUCGGAAGGAACACCAGUGGCCGAAGGCGGUGCUCUGGGGUGUGCCUGACGCUGAGAGACGAAAGCUAGGGGAGCGAACAGGAUUAGAGACCCUGGUAGUCCUAGCCCUAAACGAUGGAUGCUAGAUGUGGGGCCGAGAAGGCUCCGUGUCGCAGUUAACGCGCUAAGCAUCCCGCCUGGGGAUUACGGCCGCAAGGCUAAAACUCAAACGAAUUGACGGGGCCCCGCACAAGCAGCGGAGCGUGUGGUUUAAUUCGAUGCUACACGAAGAACCUUACCUGGGUUUGACAUGUAAGUGGUAGUGAAGCGAAAGCGGAGCGACCCUUCGGGGAGCUUACACAGGUGCUGCAUGGCUGUCGUCAGCUCGUGCCGUGAGGUGUCGGGUUAAGUCCCGUAACGAGCGCAACCCUUGCCCUUAGUUACAAGUGUCUAAGGGGACUCCCGCCGCUAAGCCGGAGAAAGAUGGGGAUGACGUCAAGUCAGCAUGGCCCUUAUAUCCAGGGCGACACACACGCUACAAUGGUCAGUACAAAGGGCAGCGAAGCCGCGAGGUGAAGC